CAACUAUUCCCUCCGUCCCAAAAUUCUUGUCUUAACUUUGUCUAGAUACGGAUGUAUUUAAUACUAAAACGUGACUUGAUACAUCCGUAUUUAGACAAAUUUAAGACAAAAAUUUUGGGACGGAGGGAGUAAUUU
rnacentral:pre_miRNA from 1 species